GAUGAACGCUGACAGAAUGCUUAACACAUGCAAGUCUUUGGCGAAGCUGUGCUCGCACAGCCUAGCCAAGGCGGACGGGUGAGUAACGCGUAAGGAACUUGCCCUGCAGUCAGGGAUAACAGACGGAAACGACUGAUAAGACCUGGUAAAGUCAGGCGGACUCAUGUCCAGCCUGAUGAAAAGAGAUGCUGCAGGAGAGCCUUGCGUCCUAUUAGCUUGUUGGUGGGGUAACGGCACACCAAGGCGAUGAUAGGUAGCCGGCCUGAGAGGGUGGACGGCCACAAGGGGAAUGAGAUACGGCAGUUAAGACUACGGGAGGAAGCAGUGGGGAAUAAUGGACAAUGGGGGCAACCCUGAUCAAGAAAUUAUGUGUGGAAGAUGAAGGUUUUCGGAUUGUAAAGUGCUUUAAGAAGGGAAGAAAAAAAUGACGGUACCUGAAGAAGAAGCGACGGCUAAAUACGUG
rnacentral:rRNA from 1 species